rnacentral:rRNA from 1 species
UUCGGUGAGAGCGGCCGGUCCGCCGUUUGGUGUGCACUGGCUGGUCUCAACUUCCUGCGGAGGACGCGCUCUGGGCUUAACGGUCUGGACGUGGAGUCCGCGUGGUUACUUUGAAAAAAUUAGAGUGUUCAAAGCGGGCUUACGCUUGGAUAUUUCAGCAUGGAAUAACACUAUAGGACUCCUGUCCUAUUUCGUUGGUCUCGGGACGGGAGUAAUGAUUAAGAGGAACAGUUGGGGGCAUUCGUAUUUCAUUGUCAGAGGUGAAAUUCUUGGAUUUAUGAAAGACGAACUUCUGCGAAAGCAUUUGCCAAGGAUGUUUUCAUUAAUCAAGAACGAAAGUUGGGGGCUCGAAGAUGAUUAGAUACCAUCCUAGUCUCAACCAUAAACGAUGCCGACUAGGGAUUGGCGGAUGUUAAUUGAUGACUCCGCCAGCACCUUAUGAGAAAUCAAAGUUUUUGGGUUCCGGGGGGAGUAUGGUCGCAAGGCUGAAACUUAAAGGAAUUGACGGAAGGGCACCACCAGGCGUGGAGCCUGCGGCUUAAUUUGACUCAACACGGGGAAACUUACCAGGUCCAGACAUAGUAAGGAUUGACAGAUUGAGAGCUCUUUCUUGAUUCUAUGGGUGGUGGUGCAUGGCCCGUUCUUAGUUGGUGGAGUGAUUUGUCUGGUUAAUUCCGUUAACGAAACGAGACCUCAGUCUGCUAAAUAGUCAUACGCUACUCCUUAGCGCAGUGACUUUCUUAGAGGGACUAUGUGCGU